GAGGGUAUAGCUCUAGUGGUAGAGCACAUGCUUAGCAUGCACUAGGUCCUGGGUUCAAUCCCCACUACCUCCC
rnacentral:tRNA from 1 species